rnacentral:lncRNA from 10 species
GGAAUAUGUACCAAGGAACAGUAAGUGCUAUGUCAAAGGAGAAGAAGAAAUGACAACAUAUUGCUGGAAGUAGGAUUUCCAGCUCCUAGAAGACAGAAAUCAUGUUGUUCAUCUUUUGCAUCCUUCCCAGAAUCUAGUGGAGCACUGAGCAUCAUGGAAGGCUGGAAAUACUUCUUAAAGAAUUAUACAUCUAUCAAGUUUCCCCUUUUCUCCUCAGUCUGUUUUCAGAUAUCUGCGAGUUAAUUUCUGGGGUGGUAAGAGCCAAAAGCAGAGAAUAAAAUAACAACUGAGAUAAAAAUAAGAGAAAGGAAAAGGGCAUGCUAAAUCCUUUCCCCCACCCCCACCAUAGGGAAACUGCCAUGCCUUUUUCAAGUGCAUAAAUGCUUUUUUCAGGCUAAUGUCUACCUGCCACUCAUCAGGCUAGGCGAAGGGAGUUUUAUGAAAAACAGACUAGAUGUCAUAAACUAUCAUAAUACACAGUCUGCCUUAAACAAUGGGUGAACUCAACAAAUGUUUCGCUUUAAGUAAAUUUCAAGUUUCUCUUCAGAUUUUCACUUAAAUUGCCUCUUAAACCUACACACCAUAAUAUAAAUUCUGUAACACAUAUAUUGAAACAUAGCUUAUACUGCUAACAUUUAAUAGAGGUUCUGUCAUUGUAGAACUUCUUUUAUUAUCAAAUUUAGCCAUAAAUAUUUCUGGUGGAGUCAUAUUUUCAACAUUUAGAAGUUACAGUAUUUUCCUAUGGAAGGUAGCAUCUUGACAGUUCUCUAAAACAGUAUGUAUAUUAUUACUUCUAAAACACUUAGUGUGUCUAUCAUUCAGCACUACUAUAUAUUACCAUCUAUUUUUCUAUGUUUUCUUCAUUUGUACAUGCUUUCUCCUCUCAACCAAAUACUCAGUUUCCACUGCUUUCUAAUUUUUAUGCAUUCUCCCCUCUCACUAAAACAUUAUUGGGCACCCUGUCAUCCAACAAACCUUUCUUGAGCAUCUACCGUAUGCCAGGAAUUGUUUUGAGGGCUCAGGAUACAGGAUAAGAAAGACACAUACUCUGCUCUUGGAUAACUCAUAGUGGAGAGGCAGGCAAUGAAGAAUAAAUUAAACAAAAAAGAAUGAGAUGAUUUCUUAUAGUAAUUGGUGCAAUAACAAAGAAAUAAAAGAAGAUUAUAUGAAGCACAGUGUCCAGGAUGUAAGAGCCUUCUUUACCUUUUAUUUAUUUAUGUUUAUUUUUAUUUUUUGAG